AUGACCAUUAUGGGGUUUCUGCAUCUCAAUGACACCUCAGUGGGUAUCAGUGGGUCUCAAUGGGGUCUGAAUGUGGCCCGGCUCCGCGAGGCCGUGUGGCGGCGGCUCCGUCAGCGCCCUCUGUCCUUCCCCACAGGGCUGAUGGCGGCCGUGACGUUGGACGAGUCCGGGGGCGGCCUCCAGACGCCCGGAGGAACGCUCAGCCUCGUCUGCAAGGGCUCCGGGUUCACCUUCAGCAGCGUCAACAUGUUCUGGGUGCGCCAGGCUCCAGGCAAGGGGCUGGAAUACGUCGCAGCUAUUAGCAAUGAUGGUAGUUGGACAGGCUACGGGGCGGCGGUGAAGGGCCGUGCCACCAUCUCGAGGGACAACGGGCAGAGCACACUGAGGCUGCAGCUGAACAACCUCAGGGCUGAGGACACCGGCACCUACUACUGCGCCAGAGGUGGUGGUGGUGUUGGUUGCAAUGCUUAUUGUAUCAACGUCGCUCCUGGAUUCAGCGGAGCCCACAGCCCACAUGGAGAGAUCGGAGCCCGAGGGAUGGAGCUGAGCCCAGAAUGCACAGAACUCAGCCCAGAUCUGCAGCCCUGA